rnacentral:rRNA from 1 species
AUUGAACGCUGGCGGCAGGCUUAACACAUGCAAGUCGAACGAGUGGCGGACGGGUGAGUAAUGCUUGGGAAUCUCGCUUAUGGAGGGGGAUAACUACGGGAAACUGUAGCUAAUACCGCGUACCAUCGGAUGUGCCCAGGUGGGAUUAGGUAGUUGGUGGGGUAAAGGCUCACCAAGCCGACGCUCUCUAGCUGGUCUGAGAGGAUGACCAGCGACACGGGGACUGAGACACGGCACAGACUACUACGGGAGGCAGCAGUGGGGAAUAUUGCGCAAGGGGGGCAACCCUGACGCAGCCAUGCCGCGUGGAUGAAGAAGGCCUGAGGGUUGUAAAGUACUUUCAGCGGGGAGGCGUUACCCGCAGAAGAAGCACCGGCUAACUCCGUGCCAGCAGCCGCGGUAAUUC